AUUGAACGCUGGCGGCAGGCCUAACACAUGCAAGUCGAACGGUAACGGGAAGCAGCUUGCUGCUUCGCUGACGAGUGGCGGACGGGUGAGUAAUGUCUGGGAAACUGCCUGAUGGAGGGGGAUAACUACUGGAAACGGUAGCUAAUACCGCAUAACGUCGCAAGACCAAAGAGGGGGACCUUCGGGCCUCUUGCCAUCGGAUGUGCCCAGAUGGGAUUAGCUAGUAGGUGAGGUAACGGCUCACCUAGGCGACGAUCCCUAGCUGGUCUGAGAGGAUGACCAGCCACACUGGAACUGAGACACGGUCCAGACUCCUACGGGAGGCAGCAGUGGGGAAUAUUGCACAAUGGGCGCAAGCCUGAUGCAGCCAUGCCGCGUGUAUGAAGAAGGCCUUCGGGUUGUAAAGUACUUUUCAGCGGGGAGGAAGGCGAUAAGGUUAAUAACCUUGUCGAUUGACGUUACCCGCAGAAGAAGCACCGCUAACUCCCA
rnacentral:rRNA from 1 species